GGCCACGUGGAAGGGUUUUGUGCAGGGAGCCACUGGCCCAGCUACCGGGCCAACCUGGGAAGAGCAGGCAGGCCGUGGGGAGUCAGUGGAGGAGAGGAACUGGACUGUGCACCCUUCAGAAUCCCCCUUUAAAGUGGAGAGCUGGGGACUGACGGCAUGCCUACAAUACGGUGUACCUGCACUCAGUAAAGAUACCCGCUGUCAGUCCAUCCUCCCACAGCACCGGCACCUACAAGUGGGGACUGCAGAGCGGGUUUGCCUGGGAAGAGGAAGCAUGAUGUGCAGAGUGGGCGGUGUAGCAGACGUGGGAAAAGCAAGAGAAGAAAAGGGAAAACAGCGCAGAAGGAAAGCCAUGGUCAUGCCGAUGAGUGCGCUGCCCCCUCUACCCGGCUUCAGGAGGCUGAUGACUUUUCUUUCACCCUCUAAGCCAAGAUAAUAGGAAAGCUAAAACGAAGGGCUUCAGGCUCAGGAAGAUCAGAGGCAGCAGUGCUGGAGCUGGCUCUGUAAAUUUUACUGACUGUUAGAUUUUCCGAAAAUUUGUGAGCUGGUUGAUGGCCUCACCACGGAGCAUCCUUCAAUCAACCUCAGCCCCUGCUCACUUACCACCCUGACACCCCCGUUCCCGAGUCCACAUGGCACCUCCUGGAUGCCACGAAUGUUCCCGGGCAGUGCUGUGCCAGCACCUAUGAGAGCCUGGCCCGUGUUUGCUGCUGAUGUCCUGAAGGAGGCCCAGGUCCUCCGGGAACACGCAGGGCUGCAUAAAGCACACCUCCUCACAUUGUCUUAGAGACAAUGGGCUUUCUAAGUGUAAAGCACUCUGCAAACACACACGUCACCUCCUGACCUCCCCCGGCUGAGCACCUGCACCCCCUGGUCUCACCAAGUCCCUCCCCUCACUUCUACCCAAGCUCUACUCCAGGGAGAGGCACCUUCGGCCCACAGAGAGUGUUUCGUAAA
rnacentral:lncRNA from 1 species